GGAUAUGAGGGUGAGCUGGCUGCAGCAUCUGUUACCCCAUUGGUNNCCAGGGUUGAUUUAGCUGAUCUGACUGGCUAGGCUGGUGUCCCCUUCCUCACCAUUCUGUGUUUGGCUCUCCAGAAGCUGCAUGUUCAGUUUAAGAGGAUGNCCUUCCCCAAAUAGAGAAGGUGAGAUGGUCAAUUAAGGGUAUACAAUCGCUGCANUCCCCUGUCAGAACUUUCAGGCGAGCUCUCAAAGGCUUGUUAGUGAGGGUCCCCUGAGUGAAAUCUUUUAGAAGAUUUAUUUUGUUUAGUUUGUGCAUGUGUUUUCCUGCAUGUAUGU
rnacentral:snRNA from 1 species